rnacentral:rRNA from 1 species
GACGUAGGGGGCCAGCGUUGUUCGGAAUUACUGGGUGUAAAGGGUUCGUAGGCGGUGUGGCAAGUCGGGAGUGAAAUCUCUGGGCUCAACCCAGAGUCUGCUUCCGAAACUGCUGUGCUUGAGUGUGGGAGAGGCGCGUGGAAUUGCAGGUGUAGCGGUGAAAUGCGCAGAUAUCAGGAAGAACACCCGUGGCGAAGGCGGCUCUCUGGAACGCAACUGACGCUGAGACGCGAAAGCGUGGGAGCAAACAGG